UACAGAGGGUGCAAGCGUUGUUCGGAAUUAUUGGGCGUAAAGCGCACGUAGGCGGCUUUGUAAGUUAGAGGUGAAAGCCCGGAGCUCAACUCCGGAAUAGCCUUUAAGACUGCAUCGCUAGAACGUUGGAGAGGUAAGUGGAAUUCCGAGUGUAGAGGUGAAAUUCGUAGAUAUUCGGAAGAACACCAGUGGCGAAGGCGACUUACUGGACAACUGUUGACGCUGAGGUGCGAAAGCGUGGGGAGCAAACAGG
rnacentral:rRNA from 1 species